rnacentral:lncRNA from 1 species
UGUGAGCCUGGGGUCCGUUCUCACAGCUGGAUCUGGGGUCUGAAUGCCGCGCCCUCUGGAGAGCCACAGAUGGGUCUCCGCUGAUGCUUCUCUCAAUUUCCUCUAAGAGCGAGAGCUCCGGGAAAGGAGCCGAUCCUGGUGGAAGACUACAGGUCUGAGUCCACUGGACGAAAAACGAGGCUCCUUGGAUUAGAGACCAUCCUGAGGACAUCCUUGGGAGCCAUGUGCUGAAGAUGGCCAAGCCACAGGAUGAAAGGAGCUGCAUCUUUGAGUCACCACUGGAGAAAGGUCUCUCUAAAUGGAUUUGCAGAGACGUCUUCUCGAAUACUCCCCUUCUAAGUUCCACUUGUAAUCCACUUCUUCUAUUCUCCCAGCAAUCAAUGUGGUUUGGGGAAAUUCCAGAAUCUCAUAAUACCUUGGUCAUGGGUAAAUAAGGAAAGGACCUUUACAUACAUGUGAUGCAAAGCAGAUCAAAACAAGCAGAGCAGCCUAAGAGCAGCAAGACCCCAAAGGAUAAGGGAAGUCCUGCAGAAGAGCAGAGCGGUGCUGCAAAGGCAGGCAGGUAAGGUAAGCAGACAGGGCCAUCAGGAUGGAUCCUUUGGGCAUGCCAGCAUCCACCAGGGACUGGUAGAGCUAUUUAGAGAAACUGAUAAAAAGCUCUGCCAACUACAGUCACAAAAGAUGGAGCUCAGAAUGAUGAGUAGAUGCCUAAAACAUCUCCAUUUUGUUGAUGAAGAAAGUAAAGUUUAUAGAGCUUAGAUUAUUUGCUUUUGUACCUAGCACAGUACUUAGUUUAUAGUAGAUGCACAAUAAGUAUUUGUUUAAUGAGUGAAUGAGUCACUAGCCUAAGACCUUUAAUAUAACAUGCUUAAACCUGCUACCAGGGAUUGGGAACUCACCUAUUUAGUAGUGAGUAGAGGGGUGUGGUACUGGUACUUAAGACAGAUGCAUUGUGGUUGGGUAUGGUGUGUUUUUGUUUUUGUUUUGAGACAGGUUCUCCCUCUGUUGCCCAGGCUGAGAUGCAGUGGCAUUAUCAUGGCUCACUGCAGCCUUAACCUCCCGGGGCUCAAGCGAUCCUCCCACCUCAGCCUCUGAGUAGCUGGGACCACAGGUACGCAUCACCGUGCCUGGCUAAUUUUGUUUUUUGUUUGUUUGUUUUGUAGGGACGGGAUUUUGCCAUGUUGCCCAGGUUGGUCUCGAACUCCUGGGCUCAAGCUACACCCGCCCGCCUCGGCCUCCCAAAGUUGUAGGAUUAAGGUGUGAGCCACUGUGUCCAGCAGAUAUAAUGUUUUUAAAAGUUUGAGAGUUAAUAUGCUCUCUGGUGUGCCCUAGGUCCCACUACUCCUAUUGCCUUAAAACUCACGCAGUACACAUUUGUCUUCCAUGGGCUUCAGUUGUAAGAGAACCCUUUCUACUCUUUGCUGUUCACAAGUCUCCUUUUAAACAGAGCUUGUUCCCAAUGCUGUUUUGUUUUGCCCUCUGCCAUGUUCUUCCGGCCAUCACCUCCUGUGGGGAAAAGAGAGAGAGAUCACAUUGUUACUGUGUCUGUGUAGAAAGAAGUAGACAUAGGAGACUCCAUUUUGUUCUGUACUAAGAAAAAUUCUUCUGCCUUGAGAUGCUGUUAAUCUAACCCUAGCCCCAACCCUGUGCUCCCUGAGACAUAUGCUGUGUCAACUCAGGGUUAAAUGGAUUAAGGGCUGUGCAAGAUGUGCUUUGUUAAAGAAAUGCUUGAAGGCAGCAUGCUCGUUAAGAGUCAUCUCCACUCCCUAAUCUCAAGUACUCAGGGACACAAAACACUGAGGAAGGCCACAGGGACCUCUGCCUAGGAAAGCCAGGUAUUGUCCAAGGUUUCUCCCCAUGUGAUAGUCUGAAAUGUGGCCUCGUGGGAAGGGAAAGACCUGACCGUCCCCCAGCCCGACACCCGUAAAGGGUCUGUGCUGAGGAGGAUUAGUAAAAGAGGAAGGAACGCCUCUUUGCAGUUGAGACAAGAGGAAGGCAUCUGUCUCCUGCUCGUCCCUGGGCAAUGGAAUGUCUCAGUGUAAAACCCGAUUGUAUAUUCCAUCUACUGAGAUAGGGGAAAACUGCCUUAGGGCUGGAGGUGGGACAUGCUGGCAGCAAUACUGCUCUUCAAGUCAUUGAGAUGUUUAUGUGUAUGCAUAUCUAAAGCACAGCACUUAAUUCUUUACCUUGUUUAUGAUGCAGAGACCUUUGUUCACGUGUUUACCUGCUGACCUUCUCUCCACUAUUAUCCUUUGACCCUGCCACAUCCCCCUCUCCGAGAAACACCCAAUAAUGAUCAAUAAAUACUAAGGGAACUCAGAGGCCGGUGGGAUCCUCCGUAUGCUGAACACCGGUCCCCUGGACCCCUUUUUUUCUUUCUCUAUACUUUGUCUCUGUGUCUCUUUCUUUUCCAAGUCUCUCAUUCCACCUAACGAGAAACAACCACAGGUGUGGAGGGGCAGCCCAACCCUUCAACCUACCUAUCUUAUCUCUUCCAUUAUCUAUCCACAUAUGUCCUCUGUAUUUUUUUGAGUAACAUUUAUAAGCAUAAGUCCUUAGGUAGCUAUGCCACUUACAUAAUGAACUAGAAAAGGUAACCAAACAGAAUAGGGUUGUACUCAGAUAUACCUUCUACAAGUUUGUGUUACACAUAUUUACACAUAUUUAAAAAUAUAUACAUAUUAUUAUUGUGCUGUGUGGUUAUUAGGCAAACUCAAUAAGCAGUUCUUAUAAAGUAUACUCAAUGUAACUUUUAUAAACUUACCAUAUUUUAUAGUUAUUCUGUUUUUAUUAGCUGCUAUAAACUACCUGGGUGUCUUGCAUGAGUCAUUUUAUUGUAAUGUUUUUGUAUCUGUUGAAUGAGGAGUUAGAAGGCAUCAUCUUUAAGGAGCUUUACAGGUACAUGUCCAGGGCUCAAUAAUUUUAUUAUUAUUUCCUGGACAGAUAAAACCUAAGCAGGUGAAGGGGAAAGAAUAAAAGUGCAGGGUGGAAGUUGCUUGAAUGCUAACUGGGUCAACGAUCUCCCAGAAAACCCCUGUAAAAGAAACCUAAGAACCUACAUCACCAGGAGACCAUUGGGACCAGUUCCUCUGGAAUCCCUGAGGCCAGAUAAUCAGCUGAAGCUUUACAUUCUGUCCCUUUCUGGUCAUGACUUUCUCCACAGUCUGCUUGGUGCCUCCUCCUCUGUGACUCUAAAUUCUUAGGAUCAACCCCUCUUGCAUAUGCACAUCCGCAGUGCCUGUGGGAUACGGUGUGGUGUGGGGAGGAAACUCUCUUCUGCCUUAAUAUUUUCCUGUGUGCCCCAGGCCUUGACGGAAUCCUGUCUCUCCAUAAUGUUGCUUUUCGAGGAGACUGAUUGAUUGAGAUGGCGUCUCACUUUGUCGCCCAGGCUGGAAUGCAGUGGCGUGAUCUCGGCUCACCAACCUCCACCUCCAAGGCUCGAGUGAUUCUCCCACUUAAGUCUCUUGAGUAGCUGGGACUACAGGUGCAUGCCACCACGCCUGACAAAUUUUUUUAUUUUUUGUAGAGAUGAGGUUUCGCCAUGUUGACCAGGCUGGUCUCAAACUCCUGGACUCAAGUGAUCUGCCCACCUCGGCCUCCCAAAGUACUGGGAUUACAGGCAUGAGCCAAUGUGCCCGUCCUGAGGAGUUUUCUUCUGGAAUUCCUGCUGGGUUUUUGUAGUCAGUCCUCUCCCCAUUUCCCACAUUGGCUCUUGCAGACCUUCCUUUUCCCCAUUUCUAUUUGCUACCAUGUCAGACAUGACUUUUGCCAUAGGAUCUCUAUUCUACUAUAGAGGAAACCAAAGCCAUCAGUAGAAAUUUCACUAACAUGGAAUCAGAUUUAUAGAAGAAAGGGGGAGGAAAGUUUUGCCUUAACACCUGGAAGGGUUUCGUUUCUUUUAGUAGCUGGGAGACAGAAACAUAAGAAAGUAGCUUAGUAAGCUUUCUGCUGUUCAACUGAUGAUGUGUGAGCUGUCAGUAGUUCAAACUAGUCAUUAUCUUUAUGAAUUAAUUAUGUAAUAACUUAAACAAUGUCAUAAACCUUCAAAUCAGUUUAAGUCUAAAUGUGUCAUAUUUAAUAACAAGAGCAAGAAACAUACGUUAUGAUGAAGAGCUCUUAUAUUUUCUUUGGAUAAAAGUCAGUAGGCGGGGCGCGGUGGCUCAUGCCUGUGAUCCUAGCACUUUGG